UUAAAAAAAAUAUAUAUAAACAAUAUUUGAUACACAUUAUUGUCUUUUUUGGUCUGCGGAAAAUUUGUAAAAAGUCGCUCCGUGGUGAGUCUUGAACAGGGCGAUUUGAUCAACCAAUCGUGGUCCGUUAUGGUGUGCAUACCCGAUACUUCCUCUAUGGCGAGACUAUUUAAACCACUGUCCGCGAAAAAAUACACGAAUGAUCGUCUUUCUGACGCCUUCUGAGAGUGUCUGCUGGUUUCAUUUAAUGUUAUUCUGCCCAGGUCAUCAAACACAGCGUUUGAUAAUAGUUUAUUCUGCUCACAGUUCGCGGGGACUGUCCUGUCGUUUUGGAAGAACUAUCCGCGUCUAUCAGGCUGAUAUCCUGUUUCCUUCUCACGGUGACGGACAACUUCAUGGACAUUUAGAUUUUGGUAUCCUAAAACAUAUGAUACGAUUUUGAAUCAGAUUAUCAAGGUCAGCAGAGGCAAGGCUAUCGGCGGCGCAGAGGCAAGGCUAUCGGCGGCGCAGAGGCAAGGCUAUCGGCGGCGCAGAGGCAAGGCUAUCGGCGGCGCAGAGGCAAGGCUAUCGGCGGCGCAGAGGUGUUGCUUUUCUGUCAAGGUUUCCUCAUUACCAUACGGAAGUGGCAUCUUUGUUUGUGCUGCUGGCAGAAUUGAACUGUGCUGUUGCCUGAACAUAAAACCAUGGGAGAUCCAGGGCAGAAACAACAGAAACUGGAUACAUUUUUGAAGAAGAUUACUAGUCCAAGUAACACUUCAAACAACCAACAACAAACUCCUGACCAAUCUCCAGGAGCUGAUGCCAAGGUGACACACACACACACUCUGUCAUGUUACUUUUAAUCUUAGUUUUAUUUUAUUAGUGUGACUUGCUUCAGCAGUUACACUUUAAAUAUUGUACAACUUAUUUCUGACUCUUCUUUGGAAAGCAAUUUUUUUUUUGGUACACUGUGUCGUGGAAAUUCUUACACAGGGACACUCAAAGUCAAUCUUUCAAUAAAUAAUUGUUUAUUGUCAGCGUGCUAGUACACAUGUUAAUCAGGAGCUCUGCCUCAUAAGACCCAGCAGUUGUCUUAUACACGGC